UAAUCAAUCCACUUGAAGUUAGAUGUCUGGAAUCCUCUCAGCCCUCAUUCAUUGAAAAACAUCCAACUCAGGAAUGUGAAAUUUCUCCCUAUGAAAUAUGAUUGUUUGUUUAUAAAUUAUGGAUCUGUAAAUUGUUCUAUGGUCAUGGACUUCCACCUGAAAAAACUACCAUCCAUCAAAAACUACCAUACCAAGGAGAAGGAUAAUUCUGAUCCAUUGGGCAUUUGUAAUCUUGGGUUUUCUUUCAUUAGGUUGUAAAUAAACAGGUGAUAUGUUAUUGCAAUUAUUAUAGAGUUUAACAACAUAUAAGUUAAAAAGCAUAUAUUAAUACAUGUAUAAAAAUUGGAAUUGGCAUGUUUAGAAGAUCCCAUUUUGAUCCUGAAAUUCGAUGUGAUGUUUCAUGAGUUUGAGAUGAGGUGAUGCAAAACAUCUAGUUUGAAUUAGAUUGUAUUGUAAUGGCACACCUGUAUAAAUGCUGCCUUAAUUCUUGUCAGUAUUUAAAGGUUGUAGACAUUGGUCAUUCAUGGUUUUACUGAGGCGUGGGAGUAUUUACCGAUCUGUAAGAUGUGAGAGGUUGAAUCUGAGAGAGAUGCGAGAUGCUGUUUGUGAUGUGAAUUCUGGAUGUUAGGACUGACUGUUACGAAUGUGUACACGAACCAUUUCACUGAUAUUAAGUCUGUAUGAAGUCCCAUGUAGACACCUGCUACAUUAGUGCUAUAGAUCUGUAGACUGUAUUUGACUAUCCUGUAGACUCUAGCCAAGUGCCUACCACCUAUUUUUGAAUAGUUAGAUAUCUUCAACCUCGUUAACCUCACGUACAAGUAAUUUAUAGUUCAAUAUACUGUUACUUAAACAUUUAUUCAUAACGUGAUGUACAGAAACAAGGAAAGCUCAAGUUUUAACACAUGGUGUCAGUUCAUUGUUUUUCACUCACAGACACCAAAAUUUAACUGUUAUAAUUUGACUGGUUCCCACCAAGUAUAUCCAAAUAUUUUUAUACACUCAUUGUCCAAUUUCUGUGUAGACAGAGCAGUAUUAAUUGUGUUUGAACUUCAAUGUCGUCUCUGCAAGCCAAGGAAGACAAACCAGUUCUCACCAUUUGUAAAGAAUAGUAGUUGGUUGUUGUUCCUUGGCGGGCAAAGGUUGGUAACGGCAUACAUGUGGUGUAGUCACAGUAGAUGAGGGAUUAACAUCAUUCAUUAAGAAGUAACUGUAUGUACUUUAUCUUUCACAAUUGGUUGUAAUAAAUUAAGUAAGUCAAUGAUGUAAUUUUUUACAUUGUACCGUACAAGGUUGUUUUCCUCCGAACAUAUUCAUGUACGUCUAUGAACUACACAAGCGUCAUCUUUGAUUUUGUCUGUUGUCAGUUCAAAUAAACAAGGAAUAAAUUUUUAUGUUUCUUAUG
rnacentral:misc_RNA from 1 species